AGUUUAUUUUUCUAGCUAUGUCUGCAUGCUCUAUAAAAGUUAAUGAGUCUCCACCGGUGUAAGCAAGCCACUCCUGAGCUGUAUGGGACUUCAAAGAUGACUAAGACUUUAUGCUGACAUGGACAGACUUAUACACAAAUAAUUUAAAUUGGAUGACCCUCAAAGUGAUGGCUUGGAAGACUUCCCCAAAUUCCUCACUCAGACACAACUGCCCACCCCGCACCUCUGACUAAGAGAUCUCCAAAUUCGAAACACCUAAAGCCAAUUUUCUGCUCUCUCCCAAAUACCAUUGGCCCUUCUCAUCUUCCCCUCUGGCGGUGAUGACCUAUCCCAGAGUCUUGGGAUCGUCCUGGAUUUCUUUCUUUCAUAACCACAUUCCACACAUUAGCACAGCCUGUGGGCUUUGAGCUGAGACACAGCAGGAGCAGGAGUACAUACUGUGUCACAUGUAUGUACACCCCAGCUACUCUGGCCCCGCUGCUGCCAUGUCUCCCUCUGCCCCAUACGGUAGCAUCUCGAUGUAAGCAAUCUGAUGAAAAUUAGCUCAAGCCAUGCCAUUCUUGCUAUUGACAGCGAUGUCUAUCUUAAAAUAGAAGCCAGCAAACUUUCCAUGGCCCCUGAAGUCCCAGAGCAUGUCAUUCUGACCGCCUCUCUCUCCAUCCGGCCACGUGGCCCCUGAGGUCUGCUGGGAUCUCUUGCUGUAGGGCUUUGCAUUCAGUCUCUAUUGUCUGGUCCUCUCGCUCCGGAACUUCACGUGCCUGGCCUGUUCAAUCUUCUCAGGCAAUCAAUCACCCCUCACCCUGUGUUGCCUUGUCUUUUCUACUUUGCUCUCUCUGUAGUUAAAAGUGUAUCGCAGCAUCUGAUGCUCAUUCGAGACAUACAGUAAAGUUUCUUUAUGCACUAAAAGCCCUGUGGAGCAUUGUUUAAUCUGCUUUGCUCUCUGAGCAUCCAUAACCCCUAGAACAGAACCAAGAGCUCGCCUUACAUACACACCGAACAAAACGAGUCAUUCUCGAGUGAAGGAAAUGACUAGUAGAAGAUGAACAUGAGCCAGGACCCAAGCUGGAGGCCAGAACAAGAGCUUGGGAGCUGCUAAGCAACAGGGUUGCAUCUGAGGGAACCUCACAGGCCCUCACAGGGAGGGACUGCAACAGUGUGAGAAAGACCCCUUUCUUCAUUCUGGGAGUUCACCCCUACACCUUGUAUUGUUUCCACAGUAUCUUUCGGACUCUUUCUUGUUUAGCAUUUAGAUUAAGAUCGCAGCGGCAAUUUCUGAAGCGACAGCUGCUCUUAGCCCACAGCCCCAGGUGAAAAUCGUUUUUCAUCAAAGUGGCUGGUUUUCAGUUGCCCUUCCCUCUCUCCCGUGAGUGCCCUUCCAGUCAGGGGUGUCCUCAUCCACACCCAGGGCUGCCUCAGCGCCACACUGCUUCCUGGUUACCUUUGCCCAGUGCAGGACCCGGCUUUUCCUCAGUGUCUAGAACAUCCGGACUGUCCAGCAUGGGGCCUGCUGCAUUCCGGGAGGUGAGCCGCUUCACCGGCACCCGUCUACGCGGGUCACGCUGAAUCCAGGUAGCCGAGAUUCUGUUGCAAAGCAGAACACUGGGCCCCUCCUGCCCACGUCAUCCCCACACCAAAGGAACGUAAAGAAGGCCGCGGGAAGAGUGAAAGCAGGAGUGUUGACGUACACCUUUUUCAUUUCACUUGGUGAAGCCACGGUGGUGGUUUCUGAGGUCCUCUCUCAUCGGGUGGCAAGGGGAGUGUGGGGCUCAUGCCCCAGUGACUCUCAUGUCUCCCGUGGCAGGAAAGGGCCGAACAGCCCAAGCCAGGACUCCUUCCUUCAGUCCCUGACCCAGGCCCUUCCUGCUCACUCCCGGAACCAUCUUCCUCUGGGCAGAGUCACGUGGCUCAUGCUGGCCCUGCCAUCUUCCCUCCCACCAGCCCCUCCCCCAGCAGGGACAUGCACAGCCACUUGCCAUUUACUCCACUAACAGCAGUUCCAGGGAAGAGACUCCUAGUAUCUUUCCGGGGCUAUCCAGGGAAUGCCCAUUGUCCUCGUUUGUUUCUUGUCAAUGUGACGGAAGCUGGCGUUAUCUGGGAAGAGGAAUUCCAAUGGACAAUUCUUACACAAGUCUCUCUCUCUACAUAUACUGUGCUCUUGGCUGCAGACAAUUAUCUAUAAUUGACCAAUAAACCCGCUGAAGGUUCAGAUGGAAUAAGGGCCUCACCCAGCUGUUGAGUGAAGCCUUUUCCUUGCCAGCCGCUUUGGUUUUCCCCCACCAGUCUGGGCUCUGCUACAUUGUAGUCC